ACAUCAUAUAUCACAAAAAUAAUACAAAAUCUUUUAUUACAAACAAAUAUUUCAAAAAUUACAAAGAAGUCUUUUUAAUUUUACAUUUCAGCCCUUGGACUUUUCUUAGCAGCUAAGAAACCUCUAGGUGGGCCCAUUUGCAUGUGUUCCAUUUGUCACUUGCUGCUUGCCAUUUGGCUCCCUUCCAGCAAGAUGAGAAGCACAUGGUAGCCAUGCACCUAGGUGACUAACAUUUGUCAUUCACCACUGUAACAAGAAAAAUACUAUAAAUACCACAUUUUCUUUUACUGUGGUUUCUUUCCACCGACCACCAAGUAACUUUCCACCUCCACUUGAGUUUUCCACCUCCUCUUGCUGCACUGCACGAAAUUGACAGGUAUAAACACUAUUAUUGUUUUGCUUGUUCUUGAUUAUCUUGCUUGCAUGAGAUGCAAUAGAGUAAGUAUAGUUAGCACUUUAAAAAUCUAAGACAAAGACUUUGAUCUCUGGUUGUAUAUGUGUUUUCACCUUGCUAAUGUUUAGGAGAAAAUAAUACCCUUACACUGCUACUGUUAGAAUUAGAUCACAUCACCACUUCGCUAGUUUAAUCACUAUUUUGACUCCCCCCACACACAAACCACUCAAUCGUUUGCACAUGCGCAACACUAGAAAAUUUUGUCACAUGGCAGUACAUUAUUAGGAUAUAUUUGAUCCUAAUUUAUCAGCAUCUUUUUGUUCUCAUGCACACAAUUAACUUAAAUCCCUGCAUAUUAACAAGAAUCAUCUUUCUCUAAAAUGAACAGAACAUAGUAAGCUCAAGUAAAUCAAGAAACACUCACACAUCAAUUCCUUAGUUGACCAUCUAACACUAAAAAGCAACCAUGAACAUUAGAAGUUGCUGCCAAGGAGAGAAAGGACUUAACUUCGCUGUUAAGGGUACUUAGCAUUAGGACGUGCACCGCGGACCGCCAGUUCCAACGCCGGCAAGCUGGGAAGGAGUAGGAGUGACCCCAGCCUCGCUGUCGCUGGCGACGGCCGUGGCACCCGAGCUGUGCCGUGAAGCCAUGGCAGUCCUCGUCGAUGUAGUUGUGCAUGCUGCUAGAGAACUCGUAGGAAGAAGCGCCGUGGUUGCCGGAGACGAUGAAGUAGGCCUCGCCGGACCCGAGGGAGAUAGAGGCGGCCAUGGUAGCCCAAGAACUAGGGUUACAUUUUCAGGGUGAGUUAGUGGCGUUUUGUGGAAAUAAAUUUGGGGAUCUAGGAGAGGAAGGAGAGAGGAACCCGGAGCCGGGCUCAGCACGGCCGGGCAUGGCCGGAGCAAGGAGAUCGAGUGGGGUGGCUGGGGGUGGCGUGAUGUGCUCGGUCAUGAGAGAAAGGCAGAGGGAGAUAAAAAAAAAGAGGAAGAGAAAGAGUUGUCCCAUGCGCGAUAAAAGGAAAGGGCAAGACGCGGCUCGCUAUUCUUUUC
rnacentral:lncRNA from 1 species